rnacentral:rRNA from 1 species
CAGCCGCCGCGGGAAUCCGUAGGUGGCGAGCGUUGUCCGGAAUCAUUGGGCGUAAAGGGAGCGCAGGCGGGCAUAUAAGUCUUUCUUAAAAGUGCGGGGCUCAACCCCGUGAUGGGAAAGAAACUAUAUGUCUUGAGUACAGGAGAGGAAAGCGGAAUUCCCAGUGUAGCGGUGAAUUGCGUAGAUAUUGGGAGGAACACCAGUGGCGAAGGCGGCUUUCUGGACUGCAACUGGCGCUGAGGCUCGAAAGCCAGGGGAGCGAACGGGAUUAGAUACCCCCGUAGUCCCUGUCUCUUAUACA